rnacentral:sRNA from 1 species
AUACACAGGGGGUGAGGGCUCCAAAGCAAAGGAGCCACUUCGGUUGCAGCCAGACCCAGGAGGGUCCCUGCCCAGCCCCCACUGCAGGAGGCCCCAGGAUCCCUGGCAGCCCAGCCUGGCCUGUGGUCCUGGGCAGUCCGCUUCCCCCACCCCCUGCUUCCAGUUCCGGGCUUUCCCAGCCGCCUCGCUGUGCUUUCAAAAUCCCCAUCAGCACAGCCCCCUCCUCCGACAGCCCGCCUGCCACUCUCCCCCGGGAGGGCUGCUAGCAGGCAGAAGGGAGCCACACUUUUCAUGCUGAGCGCAUUAAAGUGCCGAUAGGAAACGUCUUACAGAUUGUGGAGAGCUGCAGCCAACUCCAGGGUUUCCAGUCUGAGGAGGUCUCACCUGCUGAACCAGCCAGCCCUGGGACGCCCCAGCAGGUGAAGGACAAGACCCUGCAGGAGUCGAGCUUUGAGGACAUCAUGGCCACCAGGUCCUCCGACUGGCUCCGGCGGCCUUUGGGGGAGGACAAUCAGCCGGAGACCCAGCUGUUCUGGGACAAGGAGCCUUGGUUUUGGCAUGACACUCUGACCGAGCAACUCU